rnacentral:tRNA from 1 species
GGGGCUGUAGCGCAGUUGGUAGCGCGCCUCGUUCGCAUCGAGGAGGUCAGGGGUUCGAUUCCCCUCAGCUCCACGA